AAAGUACUCCCUCCAUCCCAAAAUUCUUGUCUUAGAUUUGUCUAGAUACGGAUGUAUCAAGUCACAUUUUAGUAUUAGAUACAUCCUUAUCUAGACAAAUCUAAGACAAGAAAUUUGGGACAGAGGGAGUAGUUG
rnacentral:pre_miRNA from 1 species